rnacentral:rRNA from 1 species
AUUAAACGCUGGCGGCAUGCCUUACACAUGCAAGUCGAACGGCAGCACGGGGGGCAACCCUGGUGGCGAGUGGCGGACGGGUGAGUAAAGCAUCGGAACGUAUCCUGGAGUGGGGGAUAACGUAGCGAAAGUUACGCUAAUACCGCAUAUUCUGUGAGCAGGAAAGCAGGGGAUCGCAAGACCUUGCGCUCUGGGAGCGGCCGAUGUCGGAUUAGCUAGUUGGUGGGUAAAGCCUACCAAGGCGACGAUCCGUAGCGGGUCUGAGAGGAUGAUCCGCCACACUGGGACUGAGACACGGCCCAGACUCCUACGGGAGGCAGCAGUGGGGAAUUUUGGGACAAUGGGCGCAAGCCUGAUCCAGCCAUGCCGCGUGAGUGAAGAAGGCC